rnacentral:lncRNA from 1 species
UAAUAAACUAUCAUUCUACACAAGUUGCCUUUUCAAGUAAGCUAGUUAUACAAAGAGGUCCUACUUUCUUGUGCUUACAGUGACUGCAGCUAUAGUAUUAGCAGCUUAGCUUAGCUUAGCUUAGCUUGCUACAUGAUGUGAAUAGUUAAUUAUUUCCGAUGUGGUUUUCUGGAAGGUUAUAUUAGGAUUAGCAUAAGUUUCUCUGUACUUAUUCAAUAUGGUUAUGUCAUUGAUGUGAGAAUUAUCAGGCAUCCUAUUUGUUUUGCAUCUUAUUGACCUCUUUUUGACAUUGAUUUGGCCACUCUGUUGGGAUAACGUACUUGAUUGUUAAGAUAUUCUAGAAUUUCAUUUAUGUGAGAAUUAUUAGGCAUCCUAUUUGUUUUCCAUCUUAUUGACCUCUUUUUGACAGUGAUUUG